UUCAGAGUUCACAGUCAUAAAGUGUGGCUUGAGUUGCAGGAAUGUGACACACUUUCAUCGUUGCUAUUGCACAGUAACAAUAAUCAACACAGCACAGUAAUUUGGUUUCAACUGUGUUCAAAGCUGCUAUGCAUGUUGGAGUAUGAAAAGCUGUUGAAUUGUACUUUUUCUUUACUUUCAUAUACUGUGUUCACAGAAACAUUGCUCAGAUCUUGUUCCCUGGAUCUUUGAGGACUUUUGGUGUGGAUGAUGUUCAGCAAGGUCUGAUGAAGGGAGGUUGCAAGAUCAACAAUGGCAACGAGAACAAAACACACUGAAGGAUGAUGUUGAAGACGUUCCCUCCAAGAAGUCGCAGCAUGUCACAUCAGUCACCAGCUCUGCAGGAUCAGACAAUACUGAAAACAAAAUG